rnacentral:rRNA from 1 species
UUCUAACACAUGCCGUCGAACGGUAGCACAGAGAGCUUGCUUUCGGGUGACGAGUGGCCGACGGGUGAGUAAUGUCUGGGAAACUGCCUGAUGGAGGGGGAUAACUACUGGAAACGGUAGCUAAUACCGCAUAACGUCGCAAGACCAAAGAGGGGGACCUUCGGGCCUCUUGCCAUCAGAUGUGCCCAGUUGGGAUUAGCUAGUAGGGUGGGGUAACGGCUCACCUAGGCGACGAUCCCUAGCUGGUCUGAGAGGAUGACCAGCCACACUGGAACUGAGACACGGUCCAGACUCCUACGGGAGGCAGCAGUGGGGAAUAUUGCACAAUGGGCGCAAGCCUGAUGCAGCCAUGCCGCGUGUAUGAAGAAGGCCUUCGGGUUGUAAAGUACUUUCAGCGGGGAGGAAGGUGUUGUGGUUAAUAACCACAGCAAUUGACGUUACCCGCAGAAGAAGCACCGGCUAACUCCGUGCCAGCAGCG